rnacentral:tRNA from 1 species
GCCAUGAUAGCUUAAUUGGGAAAGCGCAUGACUGAGAAUCAUGAGAUGCGGUUCAAUUCCGAUGUGGUGGCA